GAGAAAAUGUGUGAGUCAUAAAGCCCAGUAGGAGGAGCUACAGGGUUUAAAAUGGGGCCAACGUUUGUGCCCGGCUGUUCGUCCAAGAAAUACACACCUGGACAGUCCGGAUUUAGUUGCACUGCAGAUGGUUGGAGGAUAAUCCCAUUGAUUCCAGAGGCUGGAGUUGGACUUCAAGGUGAUGGUGGGAUGGGCUGCUGGACUUUCGUAUGACACCAGGAACCAGAAACAGUACCACAUGACCCCAAAAGUUCCUGAAAGACAGUAUGGCUGUUCACCAUGCUGACGAUGGCCACGCCCAAGUUACAUCUGAUACCAAAGGAGAUGCAGAAGCCAAUGCCAGAGAGGAUGGCAAUAAUGUAGCGCCUGGGCAGGCCGAAACAUGUGCAGUCCACAACAGGCAGCUCCUUGUCCUCCACCAGCUCCGGCCGGCCCUCAGCAGACAGCUCAAUCGUCUCUCCAUUUUCCUGCUUCUUCUCAAGAGCUCUGUGGCGAAGGGAGUGAGGAGAAAAUCAAUUAUGACAAAGAAGAAAAAGGCUGAGACGUCGGAGGAGACAGAAUGUACAUCCGAUGUACAGUGAUUCUGGAAAUACAUUCAUCAUGUAACAGAAUGGCCCAGCAGUGAAGAAACAGUGAGUAAAAGAGAAACUGGUUUAAAGAAGCACAGAAGGCUAAUUCUUCUUUUUUUUCCGCUGUGUUGAAUCUAUGUUCACAUCGCCUGCUGAGAAACCCUGAGAAACUAUGACCUCUGCCAGCCUCCAGUCUAACACACAUCAAAUAUGUAUCUAAAUGCAGCACAUCAUCUAUUAAACAUGACAUGUGCAAUGCUGAGUUCUCAGAUCAGACUCCAGCACUGCAGGUGCUGAAGAUGGAGCACA